rfam:Stegodyphus mimosarum contig28650, whole genome shotgun sequence.
GCCUUCGUGGUGUAGUGGUCAGCACGCUCGACGCGUAUUCAAAAGGUCCAGGGUUCGAUUCCCGGUGAGGGCC